rnacentral:rRNA from 4 species
UGGGAGUGGGUUGCAAAAGAAGUAGGUAGCUUAACCUUCGGGAGGGCGCUUACCACUUUGUGAUUCAUGACUGGGGUGAAGUCGUAACAAGGUAACCGUAGGGGAACCUGCGGUUGGAUCACCUCCUUACCUUAAAGAAGC